rfam:TPA: Bos taurus chromosome 2, whole genome shotgun sequence.
UCCUUGGUGGUCCAGUGGCUAGGACUCUGUGCUUCCAAUGCAGGGGACCCAGGUUCAAUACCUGGUCAGGGAG